GUGAGGCUCUCAGCCCGCCCGGUUCGAGUCCGCGAAUCGGACUCGACUCCGACUAGAUCGGGGUGGCCAAUGAGGAGCUCCACCGGGAUGGAGUCCUGAGGCUCGAAGUAGGUAUUUGAACACCGGUCAGGGCUGCCCGACGACAGAAGCAAAUGUGCCAGCAGAGAUGAAGGAUGAGGAAGCGAAAAGGAUCCUAAAGACAGAGUGCCAGGACGACUGGCGACAGCGAUAGGGACCCUGUGGGAAUAGAGGCAACACCGAGAGCUGCAGCCCGAAGAUGGGCGAAUUUGGAGGGGCUAAUGCGGGCGGAAAUCAUACGUACCAGUCUACGCCGCCGCCUCCAGGUGUUGGAGACCCGGACUCUUCCCGUCUUCAAAAUGGCGGCGCGACGGCAGAGCGGGUAGCGCCGAAGCUGGCAGUGCCCAGACUGAAGGAGUUGCUUCUGAGCGCAUCGAUGGGAAGGAUCGUCGAGCCGAUGAUGCGCACGCGCACAGGAGGCCCACGUAGAGCCGCCCUUCCAUUGGAUAGUCCCCCGCCGCGACGUGGGCGGAGAUAAAGUGACGCGCGGAUGACCUGGGAGCCUGGAGGCUUGAGCUCUGGAGCUGGGUUUAGGCAGCCGUUUAAUUUCGUGCAUUAACUCACUGAACUGAGGUAUUUGAAAACCUCUUCUCUCCCUAAGACUUUCUUAUUGCCUCCAAGAGGCUCCAUCCUUCAAUAGCACUUAUCCACCCAACAACCGGGCUGGGGGAGCAGUAGUGUCUCUAUGGCAUAAACGAAGAAACUGUGACUCAGAGAGGCUGAGUAAACUGCUUGAUGCUGUACAACUACAUACAGUGAUGAAUGUGAGAUUCAGACUUGGAUUUGUCUGGCUCCAAAAUCUCUGUUACUUCCAUGACAAUAAAACAAAGGAGAAGAAGAGCGAGAGGUGGUACGUCUAGAUGGCCAGGUGAAAACCGAGCACUGCUGAGAAGCCCCGAGGAAAAGUGCAGCCUCCACACGAAGUUUUAUUAUUGGCUUCUGAGGAAGUGGUGGAAGAAAAAUGACUCCAUGUGGAAGCUCAGAGAUGCUCCCAAGAGAAACAAAAACGGAAUUAAAGAUUACAUUUUGGAGAACGAAGUAACAAUCUCUGUGGAACAUUUGCCUUAAAAUACGUGUUUAUUAAACACCAACCUGAACAGGAUUAUCCAUUUCCAUAUAAGUCUUUACAUUUA